GACGUAGGGGGCAAGCGUUGUUCGGAUUUAUUGGGCGUAAAGGGUGCGUAGGCGGCGCGACAAGUCACCUGUGAAAUCUCUGGGCUUAACUCAGAGCCUGCAGGCGAAACUGCUGUGCUGGAGUAUGGGAGAGGUGCGUGGAAUUCCCGGUGUAGCGGUGAAAUGCGUAGAUAUCUGCAGGAACACCCGUGGCGAAAGCGGCGCGCUGGACCACAACUGACGCUGAGGCGCGAAAGCUAGGGGAGCAAACAGG
rnacentral:rRNA from 1 species